rnacentral:rRNA from 1 species
AUUGAACGCUGGCGGUAUGCUUAACACAUGCAAGUCGAACGGUAACAGGCCUAGCUUGCUAGGUGCUGACGAGUGGCGGACGGGUGAGUAACGCGUAGGAAUCUGCCUUAUUGUGGGGGAUAACCUGGGGAAACUCAGGUUAAUACCGCAUGAGCCCUUAGGGGGAAAGGAUGGGACCGAAAGGCCAUUCGCGAUAAGAUGAGCCUGCGUUGGAUUAGCUAGUUGGUGGGGUAAAAGCCUACCAAGGCGAGGAUCCAUAGCUGGUCUGAGAGGACGAUCAGCCACACUGGGACUGAGACACGGCCCAGACUCCUACGGGAGGCAGCAGUGGGGAAUAUUGGACAAUGGGGGCAACCCUGAUCCAGCAAUACCGCGUGUGUGAAGAAGGCCUGCGGGUUGUAAAGCACUUUCAGUGGGGAGGAAGAGCUCGGUGCUAAUAGUAUCGAGUUGAGACGUUACCCACAGAAGAAGCACCGGCUAACUCUGUGCCAGCCGCCGCGGUAA